GCAAUUCUAUCACUAAGCAAUGAAUGCUUCAAUCUAACAAACUAUUCUGAAUCUUUAUAGUUUACAAGCUUGUUGUAUUGGAUGCUGAGACUUGUAUUGGCUUGUCUUCAUGGAGUGAGGAUCAUUUUUCUCUGUUUUUAUUGAUCAUCAUAUUUUAUGGAGAUGGAUAAAGCUGACUCAGUGGCAAGCAAUCAAGGUGUGCGGGCACCUUCCUAGUCUUUGAAAGUUAGCAAUGUUGAUCCAACUAAAAGCUUUAGACCUGAUUGCAUAUGGGGUUUGAAUAUAUUGGGAUCUCUUCUAUGGGUCUUCAAUUGUAACUUCUAUGAAACUGAUACUUUUUGACUAGGAAAUAACAGGAAUAAUAAACUUAAAAGUAGUAACAAUGGUGGAACUGGGAAGACAAUUUUUUUUGUGUCAUCAAUGAUCCUAUGUGCUAUGGUUAAGUAGUCGUAUAAGAAUUGCAUAAUCACCUUCAAAAUCAUAAUUUAAUUCACAUAAACAAUACAUUUUCUUACUACCCAGGUUGUGAUUUCAUUUGAUUGAGUCCUCAAAUGGUUUAACAAUUGCAUUUUGUUUCAAUUAUGAUGAAUAAAACGAUAGUAUGUAAGAUUCCAUUACAUCCUCCUAGUCUAUAGGACCUUUUUCUUUUGCUUUCUUUAUCCAUAUCUGUCUUUAUUUUUGUUGAUGAGCAUAGAUGACUUGGCAGCAAAAUUUUGUGAUUCACCACCCAACUCUGUUCCUUUAUAUAUACUACCAAAUUGCAAGUUUUACUCCACCACUGAAAUCCAUUCAUCUUCUUCUCUAGCCGUGGAUAAUAUUUGGGUCCUUUGUAGUCUCAGAUAAGAGAGAGGAGGCUUUUCAAAUAGGCAGAUUUGACACACUGAAAGAAUGGAUUAGCAAGCUGGGGAAAAAAGCUGAUAGUUACACACAUGGAGUUUGUGAACAUGGUAAUUGUCUUAUUGUUAGUGUUGAAUUAUCUAUUUCUUGUUCCUUUUUCUUUCUUCUCAAAACUAGUAUUGCCAUUGGUUAGAAUAGUGAACAAUAUUUAAAUGUUGUUCCGAAUCGUUGGAUGUUAUAGUUAGAUUGGGGCCCAAGGUAUCUGUAACUGUGAAGGGGAAAUUGAGGUUGGGUGCUAGAGUUCUUCAAGAAAGUGGUGUUGAGAAGUUAUUCAAGCGGAUCUUCAAAAGCUGAAGGUGAAGAUGACUAUGCUGUAUAUAAAUUGUCUGAGUACGAUUCAUUCAGUCUGCAAAGAAGAGUGGGUAUACCCUUGGGUUAAAUUGACUAUGCUGAAGGUGUUGUAGAAUUUUUAAAUCAAUCGUUGAACAACAAUAAAAGGGUACUUGGAGCA